rnacentral:lncRNA from 1 species
AGCUUCAAUGUGAAAGAACCUUUUUCUUUUUCUCGGAAUGCUCUGUUUUAUAGCCAAGUGGCUCCAGAACACGGUGGACUGACGGCAGCAGAGAACACCCGGCCGAGAGUGUGUCCAGGAGUGACCAGCAGGGCGCGCGCCAGACUCGGAAAUUCCUGUUUUUCCUGGAUCCUUGCUCUUGAAGACAGAGACCAAAACUGAGUAACCCAAUGGAUAUAUUUCAUCUUUCAUUCCUUCCAAGGAGUAGGGAAUUAAUUUAUGUCCUUAUACGAUGAAUGAUUGCUUCUUAAUAAGGAAGAAUUAAAGGAUUAAUUAAAGAAAAUUAUUUCUUAAUAAGUUAUCUACUCUGUGUGUCUUGUGGGUUAAAAGAGGAGAGAAAAGUCAGAAGAUGUUGAAGUCUGAAGAUACUCCAGCAGUUCUUACCCUCUUCACUCUGCUGUACCAUCCCCUGCCCUGACUCCAGCUAAAACUGAUUUUUUGUGUGAAAGGAGUAUUUUAGACUGUAGAUGUGCCCUGAAAUGCCUCAUCUCAGGGAGGGUGAGAAGAGCUUCUCUUAAGCAAGUGUGGUGUCUGCUUCUGGUGCUGUUUAUGGCAGAGCUGGAAACUGUCUUCGAAAUUAACAAUAGAUGUGCAUAA